rnacentral:rRNA from 1 species
GACGAACGCUGGCGGCGUGCCUAAUACAUGCAAGUCGAGCGGGGAUUAUGCUUGAUCGCUUCGGUGAGACGGCAUAUAUCCUAGCGGCGGACGGGUGAGUAACGCGUGGGUAAUCUACCUCGUAGUUCGGGAUAACAGGCCGAAAGGCUUGCUAAUACCGGAUGAGUUCAUGCUUAUGCAUAUAGGCAUGAAGAAAGGGCUAGCCCGCUAUGAGAUGAGCCCGCGUCCCAUUAGCUUGUUGGUGGGGUAAUGGCCUACCAAGGCAACGAUGGGUAGCCGGCCUGAGAGGGUGUACGGCCACACUGGGACUGAGACACGGCCCAGACUCCUACGGGGGGCAGCAGUAGGGAAUUUUCGGCAAUGGGCGAAAGCCUGACCGAGCGACGCCGCGUGAGGGACGAAGGCCUUCGGGUGUAAACCUCUGUCUGGGGGAUGAGAACGGACGGUACCCCGGAGGAAGCCCCGGCUAACUACGUGCCAGCAGCCGCGGUAAAGUCACGUCG